rnacentral:rRNA from 1 species
GUGGGGAAUUUUGGACAAUGGGCGCAAGCCUGAUCCAGCAAUGCCGCGUGCAGGAAGAAGGCCUUCGGGUUGUAAACUGCUUUUGUACGGAACGAAACGGUCCGGGUUAAUACCCUGGGCUAAUGACGGUACCGUAAGAAUAAGCACCGGCUAACUACGUGCCAGCAGCCGCGGUAAUACGUAGGGUGCAAGCGUUAAUCGGAAUUACUGGGCGUAAAGCGUGCGCAGGCGGUUUUGUAAGACAGGCGUGAAAUCCCCGGGCUCAACCUGGGAAUUGCGCUUGUGACUGCAAGGCUGGAGUGCGGCAGAGGGGGAUGGAAUUCCGCGUGUAGCAGUGAAAUGCGUAGAUAUGUGGAGGAACACCGAUGGCGAAGGCAAUCCCCUGGGCCUGCACUGACGCUCAUGCACGAAAGCGUGGGGAGCAAACAGGAUUAGAUACCCGUGUAGUCC